AGGCAUCGUCCUUCUCAUGUACUGUACCAAAGACGACGAGUGGCAUUAGGAGUAAGAAAGAGAGAUAGUUCGCACCCUGACCCACAAGUGGAUAUCGCUUUUCUUUCACUCCAAUCAGUCAGUCAGUCAGUCAGUCAGUUAGUCGAUCGGACACCGACGGUUCGCGUGAUAUAUUCGUCGGAAGGAUAGUGUGUAUUUGAAAGAAAAAACAACAAAGUAUAAACAUUUUUUUCUUUUGCCUCCCCCCCUCAUCGCAAUUUUGUACGUUCUCCCAGAAUCAAAGAAGAAGAGAAUUUUAUUUUAACGAUAAAAAUAAAUUUGUAGAGAGAAAUAAACAGAGAGAUUUACAAAAA
rnacentral:lncRNA from 1 species